rnacentral:rRNA from 1 species
AAAACAUAGCCCUCAGGAAAUUAAUUUAGGGUGAGGCCUGCCCAAUGAAAUUAGCGUUUUUAAUGGCCGCGGUACUUUGACCGUGCUAAGGUAGCAUAAUCAAUUGACUUUUAAAUGAAGUCUGGAAUGAAAGGGAAAACGGAAUUAAGCUGUCUCCAUAUUUUUAUUAUGAAUUUACUAAUUAGGUGAAAAGGCCUAAAAUAAGAUAAAAGACGAGAAGACCCUAAGAGUUUUUUAAAAGUCCAGUUAUUAGUAAUGAACUUUUUUCGUUGGGGCGACGAGGGGCCAGUUCUUAAAUCAGUAUUAGUUCAAACGCUCUUGUAUAUGCGGAACUAUAGAACGGCAAUUAUCAUAACCAGAUAAACUACCUUAGGGAUAACAGCAUAAUCCUCUUGGGUUUGUGACCUCGAUGUUGGACUAGGAAGCUUUCAGGCUAGCCGCCUGAUAAGGAGAUUCUGUUCGAAUCUUUUCUCCUACGUGAUCU